UUGUGUAUCGGUUGCUGCAGAUAUUGCUGUGGAUAACUGUGCAAUUUGUAGGAACCAUAUCAUGGAUCUCUGCAUUGAGUGCCAAGCUAAUCAAGCAAGUGCGAGUAGCGAGGAGUGCACUGUUGCUUGGGGUGGUGAGUUGUAUUGUGGAAGUCCAUGUGCUAAUGAAUUUAAAAUCCUAAGUUGACAUUGUUAUGUACCCCCCGUACGAAAAGUGAGAACUGGGUGGACCCAUCAACUUUUGUUUGGGGGGCCAAACUAGUUCUAUCUACUUUAAAAUUUAAAAGUUAGUUGUGAAAGUUUUUUUUAUUAGUAAUAUAUCUCUUGAUGUCUGUAUAUUAACAUGUGUAUUAAUAUAUUAUAAUGGGCUUUAUUUUUCUAUUAAGAUUUGGGCUUAUUCUUUCCAGUAUUACGUGGAUCACACACACACACAAACAUCUAUUCUUCUUUCCUCUCAAUUUUUGAGAAUCUAAGCAAAUCUUAUAAUGCAUAAUUUUUUUGCCCAUUCUAUAAAAGAAUAACAGGACAUGUAAGAUAUGCAUGAUAAAAACAACAAAUAGUUCAUUGUUAUUUACCUUAGGUAGAAAGUUUGUUCAUAAUUUUUUUACCCAUUCCAUAAAAGAAUAAUGAGUUUAUGCUCAUGAUAAAAACAACAAAUAGUUCAUUGUUAGAUCUUAUGUAUUGUCUAGCAUAAGGGUAAUUUUUUUCCCCUGGCUUCUAAGAUAAAUACAUUGGUUAUUUACCUUGGGUAGAAGGUUUGUUCAACUGGCAUUUAGUUAGCAACUGCAAUAUUGGUUUUUUACCAUGUUAAUUAAGGGAGCUCUUUUGAUUCAAUGAUCACAAUCUU